UACGUAGGGUCCGAGCGUUGUCCGGAGUUACUGGGCGUAAAGGGCGCGUAGGCGGCGCAACAAGUCACUUGUGAAAUCUCCGGGCUUAACCCGGAGCGGCCAAGUGAUACUGUCGUGCUAGAGUGCGGAAGGGGCUACUGGAAUUCUCGGUGUAGCGGUGAAAUGCGUAGAUAUCGAGAGGAACACCUGCGGCGAAGGCGGGUAGCUGGGCCGACACUGACGCUGAGGCGCGAAAGCCAGGGGAGCGAACGGG
rnacentral:rRNA from 1 species